UAGUAAUGGCAGGUCAGCAUACUGCCGUGAAUACGUUCCCAGGCCUUGUACACACCGCCCGUCACACCAUGAGAGUUGGGAAUACCCGAAGCCUGUGAGCUAACUUAUAGAGGCAGCAGUCGAAGGUAGAAUCAAUGAUUGGGGUGAAGUCGUAACAAGGUACC
rnacentral:rRNA from 1 species